UACGUAUGGAGCAAGCGUUAUCCGGAUUUACUGGGCGUAAAGGGAGCGUAGGCGGCCUGCCAAGUCUGAUGUGAAAUACCGGGGCUCAACCCCGGGGCUGCAUUGGAAACUGGCAGGCUGGAGUGCCGGAGAGGCAGGCGGAAUUCCCGGUGUAGCGGUGAAAUGCGUAGAGAUCGGGAGGAACACCAGUGGCGAAGGCGGCCUACUGGGCUCUAACUGACGCUGAGGCACGAAAGCGUGGGUAGCAAACAGG
rnacentral:rRNA from 1 species